UGCUUCCGCCGGAAUUUGAUCCUGUAUCUCGUGCUCACCAGGCGAGUCUGCUAACCAUUACACUACUGAUGC